GUCGGAUUAGCUUAAUUGGUAAAGCAGUAAUUUUGUAAAUUACUUAUUAAGUGUUCAAGUCACUUAUUCGGCA